rnacentral:piRNA from 1 species
UAGGGUAAGGGCUGAUGACUUGGCCUU